GUGAUUGACCCGCAGUGCAGGGUCGGGGGAAGGGGAGGUGAAACAGAAAGGAGUGAUAACCGGGCAGACAGAGGGUAACUGUCGUCAGGAAGCACCCGGGCUGGCCAGGAGCAGUCACCACCCCUUCCUUCCCGAGGCGCGCGGGACCGUGGAGGAGGCAGAGCUGGGAUACGAACCAGGGACCCGUGGCUCUCGGCCCGCACUGCGCCUGGAUGAGGAAAACGUAUAUUUGAACCAGGCUUUGAAAACCGAGAAGGGUUUGAUGAGUGGCAAUAACUGAGCGAGCUCAGCCCUAAUCGCCCGUGGGAAGACUUUUUCUUUUUUUAUAGGCUACACUUUCCUCCACAGUAAAAAAUGGCUGGACUUAGGAAAACUAAUUACUAAUAUGUCCACCUCCUAGCAAAUGUUUGGAAUGAACAUGAGAAAUGUGCUUCUGAGUAUUUUAUUGAGGCCUCACGACAACCAGUCAUGCCUUUGGUCAUUUCAGCUGAUCACCUUGAAGUCAGUUAGCCGGCAUUCAAAGGAAAUAGUCCCCC